rnacentral:lncRNA from 1 species
GCAAAGGCGGGAAAGAAUGACGGACGAGUGAAUGGCUCUCGGGCACCACACGGGGAGAGAGAAACGAGCUGUUUUGUCUCGGGCACCGUUACCGUGGACACUUUCAGGAGGCUCCGAGAGCUGGGUCAGAGGCACACAGGAGUCGCCGGCCGCUGUUACCCUGGAGAGACCGCCAUUCCCCGCACCAUGCGGCCACAGUCACGCCACUCGGCCUCACCCGUCCCGCCCGCCCCUGGGCCCUGCCGGCCACCGAGGACGAGGACGGGCCCCUCACGCGGCCGCCGCAAGCUCCCCGCAAGCUCCCCGGGCAGGCGCGGCCCCAACAGGGGGAGGGAGAUCACCGUCUGCCUCCCGCUGUCCCCACCCUCCUCCCUUCCUCUCCUCUGUUCCCCUCCCUGAGCUCGCUGCCCAGAAUACAAAACCCCAGCAGUGGACCCCCGGCAGGGAGGGGCCUCCACACGCUCCCCAACCCCCCCCCCCCAUCCGCUCUUCUGGUGGCUUCUGCUCGUUGGGCCACGCGUGCAGAGCUCGGAACACACAAAAGCAGGUGGGCAGGAGGACAAUAAGAGGGACUCCACUCGGCCCGUCCCCGCCUCGGCGUGGCGCUGCGUCCCGUGCGCGUGCUCGGCAAGGCCAUGAAGGGGCAGAGGGAGGCCCCGUCCUGUGCCAGACGCGGGGGCGUGCAGUCGGGAGAGAGCCCGUGUGUGACAGCCGUGCCCCAGGGAAAGCACCUCCUGGAAGGCAGAGUCCUCCACAGCCCAGGAAGGGGAGCCUCUGGAGCUCCAGAACAUUCCGUGGCAUUCUUCUCAAACAAAAACAGGAGAAAUGUUGGGUCUCCGUCGAUUUUCUCUGGGGUCCUCCCCCACUCCCAGUCCCGCUUUUCCGCCUACAGUGCCCUGAACCUGCUCCCUGAGCUCAGGCAGUGCGGCCAGGCUCCGUGCACACUGUCCUCACAGAGCGUGUCUGAAAGGACCCGCAGGUCCCACCGAGGGGAGUCGAGGGGAGUGGAGCGGCCUGAGGGAGGCGCCUGGUCAUGCUCCGGGGCACCCCCAGCCACCUGGCCCCACCGAGUGAAACCCCCGCAUCCCCCAUUCCAAUCCGGACUCUAAGUAGUCUCCAGCCAGGCCGUCCCACCUGCACCGUCCCCCGA